UACGGAGGGUGCAAGCGUUAAUCGGAAUUACUGGGCGUAAAGCGCACGCAGGUGGCUGAGUCAGUCGAUUGUGAAAGCCCUGGGCUUAACCUGGGAAUUGCAGUCGAUACUACUCAGCUCGAGUAUGGGAGAGGGCAGUGGAAUUCCCGGUGUAGCGGUGAAAUGCGUAGAUAUCGGGAGGAACAUCAGUGGCGAAAGCGACUUCCUGGACCAAUACUGACGCUCAUGUGCGAAAGCGUGGGGAGCAAACAGG
rnacentral:rRNA from 1 species